UCAGUGUACUUAAAGGGGAAAUGCGCAUCUCUCUCACACACACACAUCCUGUGUGUUUCUGUCUGGGAUGCUGUCUCGCCUCCCUCCAUUCCUGCUUGUAGAGUGUGAGAGUUAACCCUUGAGGGUUACACCAAUUGCUAGUUCAUCGUUUAGCAGUAAGGCAUCCCCUGGGAAAUAUCCCACCAUCUGACUCUUCCACCUCAACCAAGUUUCACAAGCAUCAUCACUGUCUACCAGUAUUAAACUGUUCGUUUAAAACUUAUACUCUGUGUGUGUAUGUGUAUGCAGAGAGAGAGAGAGAGAGUGUGA